rnacentral:lncRNA from 1 species
CCAGAGGAACUGGUGUGCUGUCCUUGCAGCAGGAAACUCCGUUAGUGCCAGAGAAACAGCACUCCCUGCCUCAAUCGGUGCUGCUCCUUCUGAGAUGUGUCCCCGCACCGCUGCACGGUGCAGCAGCAGCAGCAGGUCACUAACAGGGCACUCUGCUGUCAUCGCCUCACUCACCUUCACCUGUGCACUUGAAACCUUUCAUCCUUCGUGGGAGCACUGUGUGUACACUAUGUGGCAAUGCAAACACUUGCUAAAGGGCAGUUCUCAGCAAGCUGGAGAGGUAGAACAGACGGAUGGAGGAAAAAUACAGCAAGGUGACUCCAUCCUCAAUAUUUUGGCUUUUUUUCGAUAUCCUGUUCUGUCACAUCACUGUCUUCCAUGGGAGAUGCACCUCUGGUCUGCUGCACAAUCACUUUGGGCAUUGAAUGCUCAGUAGGUGUGGAUUUUGAGGCAUUUUCCACCUUCAACAAAAUACCUUUUGUGCACAGCUGGUAGGACAUUUGUAAACAGCAAGGCCAGGGUUCUCCUUCGCUAACGCUGCCUGCUCCUUCUGUGCACUGCGUGAGCCGUGGCAGGGCUGCACAGCCGGCGUACAUCUCCUUGACAGAGCCUGAGAAUAGGCAGAGUCGGAGUCUGCUGCAGCCGAGGGCGGGGUGACCCCAACCAUCGUGGAUGUUGUGAAUAACUGACGGUGUUGUUAUGUCUGCUGCCUUGGUUUUGUUUCUUUCGCGCUGCUCCUGUUCCAGAACUCACAGCCACCCAA